GGAGAUGUAGCUCGGUGGUAGAGCACUUGCCUAGCAUGCAGGAAGCUCUGAGUUUGAUCCUCGGCAACACAC
rnacentral:tRNA from 1 species